GGAAGGAGGAGGGAGGGAAGGGAGGGAGGAGGGAAGGAAGGAAGGGAGGGAGGAGGAAGGGAGGGAGGAGGGAAGGAAGGAAGGAAGAAGGAAGGAGGAAGGGAGGAGGAAGGGAGGAGGGAAGGGAGGAGGGAAGGAAGGAAGGAAGGAGGAAGGAAGGGAGGAAGGAGGAGGAAGGAGGGAGGAGGGAAGGAAGGAAGGAAGGAGGGAGGAGGGAAGGAAGGAAGGAAGAAGGAAGGAGGAAGGGAGGAGGAAGGGAGGAGGGAAGGGAGGGAGGGAAGGAAGGAAGGAAAGGAGGAGGAAGGAAGGAGGAAGGAGGGAGGGAAGGGAGGGAGGGAAGGAAGGAAGGAAGGGAGGGAGGAGGGAAGGAAGGAAGGAAAGAAGGAAGGAAGGAAGGGAGGAGGAAGGGAGGAGGGAAGGGAGGGAGGGAGGGAAGGAAGGAAGGAGGGAGGAGGGAAGGGAGGGAGGGAGGGAAGGAAGGAAGGAAAGAAGGAAGGAAGGAAGGGAGGAGGAAGGGAGGAGGGAAGGGAGGGAGGGAAGGAAGGAAGGAAAGGAGGAAGGAAGGGAGGAAAGGAGGAGGGAAGGGAGGGAGGGAAGGAAGGAAGGAAGGGAAGGAGGAGGGAAGGAAGGAAAGAAGGAAGGAAGGAAGGAGGAAGGGAGGAGGAAGGGAGGAGGAAGGGAGGGGGGAAGGAAGGAAGGGAGGGAAGGAAGGAAGGGAGGAAGGAGGAGGGAAGGGAGGGAGGGAAGGAAGGAAGGAAGGGAGGGAGGGAAGGAAGGAAGGAAGGAAAGAAGGAAGGAGGAAGGAGGAGGAGGGAAGGGAGGGAGGGAGGGAAGAAAGGAAGGAAAGAAGGAAGGAAGGGAGGAGGAAGGAGGAGGGAAGGGAGGGAGGGAAGGAAGGAAGGAAGGGAGGGAGGAGGGAAGGGAGGGAGGGAGGAGGAAGGGAGGGAAGGAAAGAAGGAAGGAAGGCAGGGAGGAGGAAGGAAGGAGGAAGGGAGGGAGGGAAGGAAGGAGGAAGGAAGGAGGGAGGAGGAAGGGAGGAGGAAGGAAGGAAGGAAGGGAGGGAGGAGGGAAGGGAGGGAGGGAGGGAAGGAAGGAAGGAAGGAAGGAAGGAAGGAAGGGAGGGAAGGAGGAAAUUCACAUAGGUUCUGCAUUCAGAAAUCGGAAAUCUCGAGGCUUUGAAGCCUUUCCUUGUAGAAGCUGGUUUCUCUUAAGGAUAUUCCUGUGUUCUCUUGCUUUGAUGGUUCAAGAGUAAACAAAUCUGUUGUCGUUCACCAAAAUGCUUUAGAGACCCAGAACAGGUAAAACCCCUCCUCCCUCAUAUCCAUUCUAAGCAAAUAAUGGACC
rnacentral:lncRNA from 1 species